rnacentral:tRNA from 1 species
GCGGGUAUGGCGGAAUUGGCAGACGCGCUGGAUUUAGGUUCCAGUGGGCGACCGUGUGGGUUCGAGUCCCACUACCCGUACCA